rnacentral:rRNA from 1 species
GGUUGCGAUCAUACCAGCACUAAUGCACCGGAUCCCAUCCGAACUCCGCAGUUAAGCGUGCUUGGGCGAGAGUAGUACUAUGAUGGGUGACCCCCUGGGAAGUCCUCGUGUUGCAACCCC